rnacentral:rRNA from 1 species
AGAGGACCGGGACGGACGGGCCGCUGGUGGACCUGUUGGGGACCAACCCCAUGGCAGGGUAGCCAAGCCCGGAGGGGAUAAACGCUGAAGGCAUCUAAGCGUGAAGCCGCCCCCGAGAUGAGAUAUCCCAUUCCGUGAGGAAGUAAGACCCCUUAGAGAGUAUGAGGUAGAUAGGUUAGAGGUGGAAGCGCAGUAAUGUGUGUAGCUGACUAAUACUAAUCGGUCGAGGGCUUGACCAA